AAAAUAUCCACAUGACAGAGUGGAAAGUGCUGGGAGUGUCCACCACAAUGCACAAGCAGGUUCCCUACAGAAAUGUAGGCAGGUACCAAGCCUACUCAGCUAACAGGAAGAAGCAACUCAUGUCUAGCAAGUACACCCAAAGCCUCCGUCAAAAAUAGGCUGGAUCUCAAGAUUCACUCCAACAGGAAGAGGAGGCACAGAUCCAUUUUUUGCAGCUGCAUUUGGAGAAAUGUCAUCGGUGGCACAGCAGGAAACAUGUAAUAAAUGUUUCAUUGGCUCCCACAGGUAAUAUUUUUGCCAAGGCAGCUGGUGAAACCAUGCAAGUUUACUGGCCCUCGUAUUCAAGCGCAACAUCUAUCUGGGGAAAACAG